UCCGGCUUGUCACCGGCAGUUCCUCUAGAGUGCCCACCCAAACGUGCUGGCAACUAAAGGCGAGGGUUGCGCUCGUUGCGGGACUUAACCCAACAUCUCACGACACGAGCUGACGACAGCCAUGCAGCACCUGUGCAAAGCGCGGAUUGCUCCGCUAGCCGGCUUUCACCGACGACACAAUGCAUGUCAAGCCCAGGUAAGGUUCUUCGCGUUGCAUCGAAUUAAGCCACAUACUCCACCGCUUGUGCGGGCCCCCGUCAAUUUCUUUGAGUUUUAAUCUUGCGACCGUACUCCCCAGGCGGCGCGUUUAACGCGUUAGCUCCGGCACGGAAGGGGUCGAAUCCUCCCACACCAAACGCGCACCGUUUACUGCCAGGACUAC
rnacentral:misc_RNA from 1 species